rnacentral:lncRNA from 1 species
UUUAUCACAGCAGCAGAAAGUAAUUCACACAAACACCCAGAACGAUAAAAAAGGUCUUGUGUGGAGCAGCGCUGUCUAUUCAUCCCUUCAUCGGGGUCAGCUGGAUUUUGCAAGGGAGAUACGGAUCUGCAUCUUCAAACCCUCCAGCCUGAGUUAGGCUCCCAGGACCCCAACCUCCUUCGUUCACACUUGCACGUGCAGGACCAGAGCCUGUGGGCCCUGGUGUACACCUCCCGCCGAUGCAGAAUCUGCAAAUAGACACCUCCUUCCACAACAUACCUCUCCACAAAGCCAACCCACUGAAACGGAGCUCAUUAUCUCCAGACAUCGCUGCGGCCAAAGGGCUGGCUCUGACGCAGAGCAUCACGGGAUGGAAGCCUUCGGUGGACAGUGACUUCAUGGUGGUCAGGAAGCCAAGAAGAGACGAGCAAAAGACUCGGGAUGCCAGAGGAAUGCAAGUCAGCCUCAAAGACUGAGAAGGGCGAGUCACUACAUUGGCACCGGCACAGACACACUUGGCCCGGUGAGGUGAGUGCUACUUCGUCCUGGAGCCUUGAAUGACCAUGGAGAAGAGAGUGCCUAUCUGCACGAGUCGAUCUCCGCACGAGUCAACCUCCGACCUGUCCCAAAAUGACGGAUCAAAGAUGAGUUUGUUCUCUGUCUCAAGUCGCAGCCAUCCCACCGAAGUGUUGUUCCCUGUCUUCAGAUAUUUGGACUCUUAAGAAGUACAGAUGCAGCACAGAUUUUUAUCCUUGUGCAGAUUCUUAAAAGUGAACACAAGGUUACAUAACCCAAGAUGCACAGAGAAAUGUGUAAUGCGAUAGUCUCCAGGACCCAGUGGAUGGCUGAUAGCAGCUGGCUUGGAGGGAGGCGCUCUGGAAUCUCCUGUAGUUCCUGACGAAAGUGGGCUGGUUCCAUGGUUUAGAACCGCUUACAACGUGAGCUACUUUUACUCUUUUCAAGACAGAAGCUUGGGUAAAAAGUCUUAUUCAUUUGUGUCAGAGGG